rnacentral:rRNA from 1 species
UACUGCUAUCGAGGUUCGACUAAGCCAUGCGAGUCGAAUGUAGCAAUACAUGGCGAACUGCUCAGUAACACGUGGACAACCUGCCCUUAGGUUGGGUAUAAACCCGGGAAACUGGGUAUAAUACCCGAUAGGUCUCGAUUGCUGGAAUGCAUCGAGAUUUAAAGCUCCGGCGCCUAAGGAUGGGUCUGCGGCCUAUCAGGUAGUAGUGGGUGUAGCGUACCUACUAGCCUACGACGGGUACGGGUUGUGAGAGCAAGAGCCCGGAGAUGGAUUCUGAGACACGAAUCCAGGCCCUACGGGGUGCAGCAGGCGCGAAAACUUUACAAUGCUGGCAACAGCGAUAAGGGAACCUCGAGUGCCAGGUUACAAAUCUGGCUGUCGAGAUGCCUAAAAAGCAUUUCAUAGCAAGGGCCGGGCAAGACCGGUGCCAGCCGCCGCGGUAACACCGGCGGCUCGAGUGGUAACCGUUAUUAUUGGGUCUAAAGGGUCUGUAGCCGGCCGGAUAAGUCUCUUGAGAAAUCUGGCAGCUUAACUGUCAGGCUUUCAGGAGAUACUGUCUGGCUCGAGGCCGGGAGAGGUGAGAGGUACUUCAGGGGUAGGGGUGAAAUCUUGUAAUCCUUGAAGGACCACCAGUGGCGAAGGCGUCUCACCAGAACGGACCUGACGGCAAGGGACGAAAGCUAGGGGCACGAACCGGAUUAGAUACCCGGGUAGUCCUAGCCGUAAACGAUACUCGCUAGGUGUCGGCCACGGUGCGACCGUUGUCGGUGC